AUGCAGUGAUGACUUGAAUUUCUUCACCUGAUGAACCCUGAUGGUAUUGAGCUUUUUAACCCUGAGCAUU